AAAGAGGAGGAAGAGGGCCCGGCCACGUGGUGAUUUCUCCUGCCUCUCUUCAGCUGCCUUUGGCUAGCAGGGAAGCAGGAAAACGCAGUCCCUAUCUCCUGGGGUAAAAUUUACUGGUUAGGACGAGGACAGGGUCAGCGCUGCCCAGGCUGACCGCAUAAGGGCAUGUGGGACCCGCACCCUUUAGCCACCACGAUGGGAAGGAAGCUGGACUCUGAACGAGUGUGGAUGCCCUUGGCUUGUGAUGGGCUUGCACCAGUGUGCUCCAUAGAAGUGGAAAACGUACGAGUCAGGAAUACGUGUAGUACACCUGAGCGCGUGUGCCAGCUGUUCACCGUCACAAGUGCUGCCCAGUCACGAAGGUGCAGUGCUUCUUCAGCCCCGAAGAGGUCAAAAUCCAAAGUGCAGCUUCCACUGGUGUUUGUCACCUUUGCGACACCUUUAAGUUACAAAAAAAAGAGUGCAUGGAGCCAUCGUACGUGGGGGCUGCCUCUGCUCUCAGGUGGGCAGCCCCGGCAGGUGACAGGAGGCCACGGGGAAUUUCCUGCAGACUGUGGUGUUCUGCUCCGCCAGUCCCCAGCACUGCUCCGAGUGCUGCCAGAUCAGCUCUGUCGGAGCGGUCAGUCCCUCUACAGACACCCCUUUCCGGCUCCAAAUGGGGUGUCUCAGGCCCUUGGUCACACCCCAGCCUUCCUUCUGACUUCUCCUCUAAGGAAAGUGUUGGUUUGUUGACCAAAAAAACAAAAAAGGAAGCGAGUGUCUCACUGCAGACCUAAAUAUGUGACGAUCAAAUCCCUGUAGCCAAUUUCUUUCCUUAAUCAUUUCUUUCUUCUGUUAAGAUAAAACUGUUUAAAAAGCCACAAGAUUUCAUAGUACCUGAUUGUAAAAUAAAAACUGGUCAUUAUACUAAAUUUCUCACUCCUGCUAUUGGAAGAGCCCUCUCCCAACCCAGAGGCCCCCUGCACAGAGCCCUCACUCCAGUGUUGGGCUGCAGUCGGCAUCCCUAGCACGUGUGUGCACGUGAGCGUAUCUCCACCUCGCCGGAGCAUUUGCACUCAUUCCGUCACCCCGAGUUUCUCUUAGGUUGCUACUUGCUGGUGUAGAUCUUCAGCCCCUGAGGGUGGAUCGCAUUUAUGAAAACAGUCAAAAGCCCAAUCAGUGAUUGUGGGGUCAAGGUCACAGGAUGCUGGGGAGCAGUGGCCCCAGUGGCCUUCCUUUGUGGCCCCAGGUGUCUUAGAGGCAACCAGGAGCGGACAUUGAGGCUCACGUGCUCGUGGAGGCCCCCAUGCUGGUCCCCGGAGUGUGUGUGUGUCAGCGAGAGGAGAGGGGAGGCCCAGGGGACCCCAUACCUGCUUCCUCUCUGGUCACAGCCUCAGACCCCAGUUCUCACCCACAAGGCAAGCACCAGCCUCUCUCCCCCAGGACAUAGGCUUCCCGCCCCUCCCCUUCCCAGAGGGAUUCUUAUGGCUCCACACCUCCACCUCCUGCGCCUUUAAAUCUGCAGCCCCAGAGCCUCUGAGGGUGUGGGUGAGACCCUCGCCGCCCCCCCACCCCGCAGCUGGAGCCCCAGCC
ensembl:lincRNA